rnacentral:rRNA from 1 species
CAUGCAAGUCGAACGAAGUAGCAAUACUUAGUGGCAGACGGGUGAGUAACAUGUAGGUAUCUGCCCUUUGGCCUGGAAUAACACGAGGAAACUUGUGCUAAAACCGGAUAAGUCUUUACGGAGAAAGCUUUAUGCACCAUUGGAUGAGCCUGCACUUGAUUAGUUAGUUGGUGGGGUAAUAGCCUACCAAGACUGUGAUCAAUAGCUGAUUUGAGAGGAUGAUCAGCCACAUUGGGACUGAGACACGGCCCAAACUCCUACGGGAGGCAGCAGUGGGGAAUCUUGCACAAUGGAGGAAACUCUGAUGCAGCGAUGCCGCGUGAGUGAAGAAGGCCCUUGGGUUGUAAAGCUCUUUCGUCGGGGAAGAAAAUGACUGUACCCGAAUAAGAAGGUCCGGCUAACUUCGUGCCAGCAGCCGCGGUAAUACGAAGGGACCUAGCGUAGUUCGGAAUUACUGGGCUUAAAGAGUUCGUAGGUGGCUGAAAAAGUUAGUGGUGAAAUCCCAGAGCUUAACUCUGGAACUGCCAUUAAAACAUUUCAGCUAGAGUAUGAUAGAGGAAAGCAGAAUUUCUAGUGUAGAGGUGAAAUUCGUAGAUAUUAGAAAGAAUACCAAUUGCGAAGGCAGCUUUCUGGAUCAUUACUGACA